rnacentral:rRNA from 1 species
AGUGCCAUCGGGUGAAGCCGGGCACUCUGGAAGGACUGCCAUCGACAGGAUGGAGGAAGGUGGGGACGACGGUCAAGUCAUCAUGGCCCUUAUGUCCAGGGCGACACACGUGCUACAAUGGCCGGCACAACGGGAAGCGAGUUCGCGAGGACGAGCGGAUCCCUUAAAGCCGGUCGCAGUUCGGAUUGAAGUCUGCAACUCGACUUCAUGAAGCUGGAAUCGCUAGUAAUCGCAGAUCAGCCAAGCUGCGGUGAAUACGUUCCCGGGCCUU